rnacentral:sRNA from 1 species
CUGUCUUAAAGACAGGUUUGAAGGUUACUUAAUGUAUGUCUUAGUUUAUUCUAAUUAUUUCCUGGGUUUAUUUAAACAAAAGAAAUAUAGUUUGCACUGAACAUUUCCAGAGAAAUAUGCAUCUGACCAAUGAACUAUUCAAGUGCAUUCUAAAAAAAUCUAUGCAUCCCCUAAUAUAGUAUUAUCAAAUGCAAUAAAAAAGUGAAAAGAUAAGAACUUGCUGCAUUUUUUUUUUUGGAUAAAUUCUUAAAAUGCUUUGAAUGUAAAUGUUACUUGUGUACAAUAAAUGCCUGCUUUGUUUUUUUAAUUUUUGAGUUUAUGAUAUAUUAAUAUUCAAAGUCAUGUGACAGGAGGACACAUACAUUUGAUUUGAUCAGGUGACAAUCUGGACUCUAUAACUUAAUUGAUGGUUGGACAUCUCAUAUUUAUUUCGACAUCCACCAAAAAUACAUGUAUAUGUGCUUUUGACCCAAAUUUAUCAAGCUGUAGCAAAUAUUACUGCAUAGGACUUUUGCAAUAAACUUUUUUCAUU